UGGGGAAUUUUGGACAAUGGGGGAAACCCUGAUCCAGCCAUCCCGCGUGUGCGAUGAAGGCCUUCGGGUUGUAAAGCACUUUUGGCAGGAAAGAAACGUCGCGGGUUAAUACCCCGCGAAACUGACGGUACCUGCAGAAUAAGCACCGGCUAACUACGUGCCAGCAGCCGCGGUAAUACGUAGGGUGCAAGCGUUAAUCGGAAUUACUGGGCGUAAAGCGUGCGCAGGCGGUUCGGAAAGAAAGAUGUGAAAUCCCAGAGCUUAACUUCGGAACUGCAUUUUUAACUACCGGGCUAGAGUGUGUCAGAGGGAGGUGGAAUUCCGCGUGUAGCAGUGAAAUGCGUAGAUAUGCGGAGGAACACCGAUGGCGAAGGCAGCCUCCUGGGAUAACACUGACGCUCAUGCACGAAAGCGUGGGGAGCAAACAGGAUUAGAUACCCUGGUAGUCCACGCCCUAAACGAUGUCAACUAGCUGUUGGGGCCUUCGGGCCUUGGUAGCGCAGCUAACGCGUGAAGUUGACCGCCUGGGGGAGUACGGUCGCAAGAUUAAACUUAAAUGAA
rnacentral:rRNA from 1 species